UCAGAUAAAACGCGAUUUGCGCUGCACUAUGCCAAGAGCAAAUCUUGUUUUUGUGUAUUGUCCUGUCUUGGCCCCACUCAGAUUUCCUGACCACUGAACCCCACUGCCUGGAAGCAGCUCACCUCUCUCACGUGUCAAGUCUCUGGUCUUAUGAGUCUCUACCUGGCGACUAGUCUGGUGACGUUGCAGUUUCACUUGAAGCUACGAGUUUCCUGUGUCUACCUGGCCCUUCCUCUGGAGCUGCCUACUCUGUGCUUGGGCCCGUGGUCAUCUUGGACUGUCUCAGUGGUCAUCCCUCCUGCCCGUAUUGUUGACUGCUCAGCCUGUCUGUUUGAACUGUUUCACUGCAAAUUCCCCAGCUGUUCCAGUCUUCGUCUUGUUAAUAAAAUACCCUUGUCUGCUCAA